CGGUGGGGUAGAGGCGCAACAGUCAUCAGUCGCAUACGGGAGUGACGCUCCACAAUGAUCGUAUGCUAAAGGGGCCGUUGCCGAAGUGGCUGACACAGACGAAAAGUCGGCUGCUGGGGUCAUAUCGAACAGGUAUGGCACUGUCAUGGUUGGUUUAACCAUGGAGGACUACUCUGGAG
rnacentral:ncRNA from 2 species